UACGUAGGGGGCAAGCGUUGUCCGGAAUCAUUGGGCGUAAAGAGCGUGUAGGCGGCCCGAUAAGUCCGCUGUGAAAGUCCAGGGCUCAACCCUGGAAUGCCGGUGGAUACUGUCGGGCUCGAAUCCGGAAGAGGUGAGUGGAAUUCCUGGUGUAGCGGUGAAAUGCGUAGAUAUCGGGAGGAACACCAGUGGCGAAGGCGACUUCCUGGCCUGUUCUUGACGCUGAGGCGCGAAAGCUAGGGUAGCAAACGGG
rnacentral:rRNA from 1 species